GAUGAAUAACGUAGUGAAAUGCGAUAAGUAGUGUGAAUUGCAGAAUUCAGUGAAUCAUCGAAUCUUUGAACGCACAUUGCGCCCUUUGGUAUUCCAAAGGGCAUGCCUGUUCGAGCGUCAUUUGUACCCUCAAGCUUUGCUUGGUGUUGAGCGUCUUGUCUCUAGCUUUGCUGGAGACUCGCCUUAAAGUAAUUGGCAGCCGGCCUACUGGUUUCGGAGCGCAGCACAAGUCGCACUCUCUAUCAGCAAAGGUCUAGCAUCCAUUAAGCCUUUUUUUUCAACUUUUGACCUCGGAUCAGGUAGGGAUACCCGCUGAACUUAAGCAUAUCAAUAAGCGGAGGA
rnacentral:misc_RNA from 1 species